CGUCUCAGCAGAGCAGGUGCGGUCCGUUGGUUUUCUUCGUCACGUGACCACGUCGCUUCGUUAAGUGGCGGUCAUGGAAAAUUACACUUCAGAACCCCGUGUUUUGACAGGAGGAAACUUCGAUUACUUUAGCGUUGCCUUAUUGAAUUAGGUUCAAAUUACCACGUUGAGUGAACAUUACAUCAAAAGCUCAAAAUAUGAUUCAAGUAUAACUACUGGACCCGGACCAAAAUGCCAAAAUACCAAAAUAAAAAUAUGAAACCUGUUGAACUUCAGCGUGUAAAACGGAUUUGAACAGUAGAGGGCGCCAGAGACCAAGAUAUACACGGAUUGUGUGCGAGGGGAUGGGCUCACAAAGCCGCUGUCAGCCUCCACAGCAGACCUGGCGGCAGCAUGUGGUCGCGUCCUCCAUGUGAGCGCCGCCGCCUGAGGACCGCGUCCAGCCAGCGAGGCGGCGGUAACCCGCGGUGACGGCUGAUGGCGGGCAGCGAAGCGCAGGCUUCACACGGCAAAGCACCAAGACCGCCUGCCGCCGCCGCCGCCCUGUAAAACAAUCUGCUGCCAUGGCGACGGGCAGUGUUGGCGACAGCCACAGUUUAACCGGGAGCGGGACAGAGAAGAAUGUGUGGGCCGAGUGGGUGACCGCUUCAGCUAAAAGCUGGUGUCAGAACGUGAGAUGUCGCAGAUAUCGUCUUGCAGGCACCAGGAAAGCUGCAGAAAGAUUUAAUGAGCCCCAGGUAUUAAACAGUGCUGCAGCGACCAUGUCGUAAAGCUCAGCAGCAGCCUCUACGGACGUCACUGCCUCAGACUGGAGCUGCCAGUGGCUUUAAUGUGGUGUGUCUUCAUUCUAGUCUCUUUGUCUCUAUAAUCCUCCACUUCAGGCUUGAGGCCUUGAAAUGCUGCUAAUAACGUGCCUCCUGAGAUGAAGCGUGACUGCGUCUUCCGCCCGCUGUCGUCUGAGGCAUCGUUGCUUUGUCUCAUAAUGAUGCAGCGAGCACCAGGAAUUCAGGUGAGC
rnacentral:lncRNA from 1 species